GGCUCAUAAAUACGUAUUUGCAUAUAUAAUUUCAUAACUCAAAAUUAACCACAGUCUAGCUUGAUACUAAAAGGCUUGGUCCUAAUUUUACCACAAAAAUAAACGUCUACUCAUAAGUUAAUAAGAAACGUGCCCAAAUUCGAGCAUAACAAAAGCAUUUUACACUGACUAAAUUUAUUUUCCCACCUUGCAAAACGACGUACGAAGGGAUAUCUGAUCAAGCCCUGGACCACACCUCCAACUCUAAUAUCGAGCUGGCAUAGACAUAUUAUGUCUACACAAACAAACAACACAUAUAUAAAAAUAAAUGUAAUUGAGCUUAGCAUAAUCACAAUUUCUAAUAAACCAUAAAAAUUAAUUAAUUGUUAGUUUUGUUUGGAGUUUUGAGCAGAAAUCCAUCCAAUCAGCAAUGAUUCUUCUGAGGACGCACCCCCUUCUCUGUGGCAAUCUGGGUUUCUCCUCCACCGCCGGCGCCGGCGCCGGAGUUUUGCCUCCGCCGCUGGUGGUCGGCCUCACAUAACUCCCACUCCCAUUCAUUUUGCAAUCUUCUCUUGAGUUUGAUAUGAAUAAUGGACUUUCUUGAACUUGAUGAAUAUAAUAUACUCCCUUUUUAUGGUGUAUGUGAUGAAUAUAAUAAUGGACUAG
rnacentral:lncRNA from 1 species